AGAGUUUGAUCAUGGCUCAGAACGAACGUUGGCGGCGUGGAUUAGGCAUGCAAGUCGAACGAAUCCCGGUAGCAAUACUGGGGGAAGUGGCGAAAGGGGCAGUAAGGCAUGGGUAACCUACCCUGGGGACUGGGAUAGCCUUCCUAACGGAAGGGUAAUACCGGGCGAAGUGACGAUUCCGCAUGGGGAUGUCACGAAAGGAAUUUCGCCUCGGGAGGGGCCCAUGUAGUAUUAGCUAGUUGGUGGGGUAACGGCCCACCAAGGCCAAGAUGCUUAGCGGGUGUGAGAGCACGACCCGCGCCACUGGCACUGUGACACUGGCCAGACUCCUACGGGAGGCUGCAGUCGAGGAUCUUCGGCAAUGGGCGCAACCCUGACCGAGCGAUGCCGCGUGUGCGACGAAGGCCUUCGGGUUGUAAAGCACUGUCGAGGGGGAGAAAAGCCGAAAGGUUUGAUCUAGCCCUGGAGGAAGCUCGGGCUAAGUUCGUGCCAGCAGCCGCGGUAAUUC
rnacentral:rRNA from 1 species